UGAUAGCUUCGAGGACGCACUUUUUGAUCAAAGGCCUUCUUCAUCCUUCUCUGAUACAACUGCCCGUGGCACACAGCUGCUAACCGUCUCUCUUCGAUAAGGCUCAACUCGUUAAACCUUGUUCGAAUCCACUCAGCUUCGUCUAGCUUGACAUCCAACAGGACUCUCAGAGAAGGAAUCUCCACUUCAACAGGUAGGACUGCUUCCAUACCAUACACAAGGGAGUACAGG
rnacentral:lncRNA from 1 species